UACAGAGGGUGCAAGCGUUGUCCGGAAUCACUGGGCGUAAAGGGCGCGUAGGCGGCCUGAUAAGUCGGGGGUGAAAUUCUGCGGCUUAACCGCAGGACGGCCUUCGAGACUGUCGGCUCGAGCACGGUAGAGGCUGGUGGAAUUCCCGGGUGUAGCGGUGGAAUGCGUAGAGAGUCGGGAAGAACAUCGGUGGCGAAGGCGGCUUUCUGGUCUGCUCUUGACGGCUGAGGCGCGAAAGCUAGGGUAGCAAACGGGG
rnacentral:rRNA from 1 species